rnacentral:lncRNA from 1 species
GGUUGACAGUUUAUUAAAUACACCACAUUUGUACCUUAUUCUGUAGUUUUUUAAAUCAUUCACACACAGACUUAGUAAAAAUGUACUUUAUAGAAAACCAUCUGCAAAAUAAAAAUAAAAAUGCACAUUUUUGCCCAUAUUUUAGAUAAACCGCUGAAAAUGUUAGGAAUUAUUAUAUUGGAGGUGAUCAUGAAACAUGGGGUAGCUUGAUUUUAUUAAAUCUGACACCAGACCAGGACUUCAGUAGUGUUAAUGUUGGAAUGUGGAUGCAAAAAUGUCUAUUAACUAAAUUGUUUAAUCUAAUAGGGUUUGAGAAAUCACUACAAAUAGGACAAAAUGAAGUACUAUUUUUCCUUUACAGACAUUUUGCUAAACCCAUUUUCUAUACACUUUCUCACACUCAGAAUUAGUGGUGCAGACUGAAGAGGCAAAAAAAAAAAAUUUCUUAAAAAAAAAAAAAACCAACUAGAUCCUAUUUACAAAACAUGCAAAGUGUGAAUUUUAAGUAGGUGUUAUGGCGGAACUGGUUAAAAGUAAAUAUGGUCAAGUGACAGAAUAUACCUUUACUUCUGCAAAUGUAAGUCCUUCCCCCUCCUUUCUG